CAUAUUCUCCAGCAGAAGCCAGAAAAUUCGCAUUAGCAUUACGUCAGCCGCGUCCCAACCGUCAACCGUCAACCGCGGCAGUGUUAGUUAAGUCAUUUAGUCACUAAAUUUGAGCAGUUUGGCCAGUUUAUAUUGUGUUCAGUGCAGAAGAUAUGGCCUCGACUUCAAGAACUUCCAUACGCAGAAGCGGUCUUGACUUUCUGCUCCUCUACCUCUAUCUUAAAUUAAAGUGUGAUGACCGGAGAUGUGGCUGCACCUCUACCGAAGAGGCUUCGGUUAAUCUUGCAGCAGAGCAGAAUAAUGGCAUGCAGUGGUCCGAAGGAUACGUUCAGUCUAAUAAAAAUGACGAUAAGAAGCUGCAGCCUGUUCCGGUAGGAGGAACGUAAAGAAUUGGGAGACCGCAGCCGCAUUAGAGUAUCGGACACAAAGAAGACUUCAGCGUGAUCAACAAGGCUGUCACCCUCAUCAUUGACUUUAAGCUACAAGAAGUGAAGUUUAGUGAGUGCGACGCUAGUGUAUGUGUUCCAGUUAACAGUUAUGAUUUAAAAUCCUGCAUUGGAUUUGGAGGUUUAUCCUUUCAUAGUGUGGACGCCCACUGAUUAAGUUUUUUUGCGUAUUUCAAAAUUUUACCAAUUGUUUUCUAUGAAAUUGUUAUUAGAACAGCAAUUUUAGUUUAAUAUUGUUGGGCCAUUAUAUCCCUGUGUAUGAAAUAAGUUAUGUCUAUUUAAAAUUCUUUGUGUAGUUUGAAAUUGAUUGUUAAUUCACCAGUUGCAUAAUUAAGCGCGCCGCCUUUGUGCUCGAAGCCGCUAUUAAAUGGUGCCACCGUAUACUUCGGUAUUAAAUUUUAAUUUAAGGCACUUCCGCUGCGACUUCAGACUCAAUCCUGCUGCAGUGCAUUCCCCUAUUACAAUUCUUC